GUGCCUGUCCCCAAGUGCCCCCAUCCCGCGCAGGCACCCCCGCCUCGUCCACAGGAAUGUGCGGGAGCGUAGGCCGGAAGCGGCUGCCCGGGUCCCCAAUCGGCCCGAAGCUGGGGCGCCGGCCAGCUUUCCCUUAUAAGGCCCGACCCCGCGGGGAGGGGCCCGGCUUGGGACGCCGCCGUUCUUGCCACGAGGCCGGCGGGAACCAGGCCGGAGCUCUGGGCGGGACCCUCGGCAAUGCCCGGGCGAAGUAAUGGCGGGGCGCCGGCCGUGGAGGAACCGGUCUGGGGGUGCGAAAGACUUUGGGCGGUUUUGCCGCCCCCAGACGAGGGGCAGCGAGUGGUUUAGUCCUUUCCCAGGGAGGGGGCGGGUCUGGGCCGAUUACAGCUACCGCUCUGGCUUCUCUGAAAACCCAGCACCCAAACUCUGCAUGGGGUUAGGGAGUGGCGACUGGAGAACCCUGAGCCUCAGAGUGGACCCCUAGAGAUGGAGAUGCGCGGAGACCUGGCUUUCUUUCUGGAACGCUCUGCGUCUACUACCCCCAUCUGACUUCCUGACCUGAGGGGGGAGGUCGAGCUGACGUGGUGGGAACCCGAUGGCAGACACUCAGAGAGUCUAAGGUGCUGGUCUGACUGCCUUGGGUAGGUUAUGGCAGCACUGGACACUGCCGAGUGACCCCUGCGUCCGGAAGAAUGGUAUGGGGGUGGGUAGGUCACUUGCCUUCUCUUAGGAAAGGUAAAUCUUUAAUCCCACUCCCCCUCCACUGUCCACCCUCACAAGGGUCAAGGGCGGAGCUGGGAGGGUGGGUGCAGAGCUCUGGCCCCUCCAGUGCUGCAGCUUCCUGCCUUUGAUAGUGGGUACAUGUCUGCCCUCUUUGGUUGCCCUAAAGCCUUUCUGUGCAUGGCAAUGGGGGAGGGGGGAGGCUAUGGUUAGAUAGGGCCUCAAGAAAGUGAGGAAAGAGUGGGCCCAUCCUUCUUCCACCCUAAGAUCUGGGCCCAUGCCUCAUUCCAUCCCCAUGCCAACUCUAGGACCUACAUAUAUGUUUGCACACAUCUCCAGCUCCCAUUUUACAGGUAAAGAAACUGAGGCUCAGAAAAAAAUGACAGACUAGAAGUGACAGAGCUUAUAAGGGCCCCCAAAGCCUGUCUCUUUUUAUGGGCUCUUCUGACCUUGACUUACCUAAGAUAUGGUCCCCCAUGGCCCUCUUUGGGGUUUGUUUGGAUCCUGGCACUCUAUCUUCCUAGCAGGGUACCCUAAGGGAGGUUAUUUCACCUCUCUGAGCCACAGUGCCCUCUUGGCUUUUGGAGCUGCUGUGAGCAUUCUGUGAGAUGGUCUAGCACCCAGCCUGACCCCUACUGUGCCCUGGCAUUUUUAAUCAUUGCUGCUACUAUUAUCAUUGGGCCAGCCUCCAGGGGUGGACACUGCCCAGACUGUUGGUUGGGAGAGCAAAUCUAGCCUCCCCACACCUGUGGUUACACAUGGGCGAGUCCUCAGCAGUUACUGUUUAAACAGGUGGUAGCAGUGGGGGGACUGGGAGGGACCAGGCCUCAGCACCUGGCACAGACAGGCACAUGCUACUGGGUCCUCUGCAUCAGCCAUGCAUAACAGGUUUAGCCCUGUUCCCCUGAGCCCUCAUCCUACCCCCUCCUCCCUCCCCUCCUCUUGUCAGCUGAGAGGUAGCCUGGACAGGCCCUGCCUCUGACCUGGCUUGCCUGUUAUCACAGCAGGGAUGAUCGGGCCACUUACCAGCUUCCGCAGGGCUCCUUCGUCCAGCCCAGCUAAGGCCUCAUCUGCCAUCACGAUGGCUCCUAGCUCUGUCCGUCCCCUCCUGGUGAGAUCCCUGGUGCCUGUGGCACCUGACACCAGCUCAAGGAAUCUGCAGGGGACAGACAUGAAUCAGGCCUGCUGGGACCUCUAGAAACCACAGACACUUGGGCCCUGUGCCUCAGUUUCUCUAACCCAUGAUAAUCUGUUGGUAUCCCAUUCUUGCUACCUGUGGCUGCUGGCUGGGGGUUGCUCUCUGCCCUAGGGUGGUAUGUUGAAAAACUUAAACCAAGUGUGGGAGUCCCUGGUUCCAGCACAGCGAACUCAAUGCCACCUGCUGUGUGGCCUAAACUGGGCCCUCACCCUGUCUUAAGCAUCAGAGAGCUUAUAGGAUUGAGAAGGUCCACCACAGCCAUGCUCACCACCAGGGGGUGCCUGCCAGACUCAUUUCCUGCCCCACCCACCCAUCCCCAGGGCCUGCCCAGCCCCCACUCGGACCAAAAGCUCAGUCUCUGUGGGCUGAGCCCAUAUCCAAAUCCUUGCUGCCACUUGCCCUCCUUACCCCAGGUGAUUUAAUCCAUCGGAGGUAACCUCCUGUCUUCCAAUUCUUGAGGGCAGCCCUCUAUACACACUCCUCUUUUCUCCUCCCCUUCCUGCCCUCCCCCUGAUGCCAGUUGCCCAGACCUCAUGAAGCCAGGUGUCCAUGCAACCGGCUCCUCCUGCCAAUUUACACACUUAGAAUCGAAUUCCCCAGCUAGAAUGGCCUACAGAACCUGACACGUCCAGCCUCUGGAUAGGCAAACUGAGGAUUGGAGAGGGCGGGGAUUUGUCACAAGGGGAAAGUAGGAUUCCAAAGACCCAAAGAGCAGGAACGGAUUUAAUCAAAAUCUUGGCCACUUCUGGCUUCUGAAGCCCCCUUCCAAAGUGCCCCUAGGGGCUUUUUUUGCUCCAUGAUUGCAUCAAAAUGGCCCCCUAAAUCCUGGCCCAACCUCCUAGUGCAGCUCCUUCCUUCUUCCUGCAGCCCUCAUGUCUAUGGAAUUUGAGGGCCCACAGCCUGACACACCAUAGGUGCUUAGUUAAUGUAUGGUGACUGAAAUGGCCCCAGGAUUGCCACCCCCCCUCAAUGAUUCAUCUCUCAGUCAUGCCUUCCCCCUCCCCAGAACAGUCACUUGUCGAGUCACCCCAUCCGGUAAAGGGGUCUGAGGGGGGCUCCUAAUUCAUACAGUUGGGGUUCUUCAGACCCUGCCAGUUCAAGUCGCUGCUUGCUUGUCCCAUCCCCUUAGGCGUGGGUGGGUGUCAACCACCCAUCUUUCAUCUGGGGGGGGGGGGGGUCCUUGCCUCUUAUCUACCUACUUUGGGGUAAUCCCAAGGGUGUCACUCAGCAAUCACCAGACUUAGGUUCCAUGGACACUGAAUUCCCCCAUGUCUACUGAAGGGCAGGGGUCGCUAAUGCAUAAUCUAGGACGCCCAGGAAGUCCUUAGGAACUGCCGCUGCUGCGGGACAGGGCUCCCUGUCAUACAAAUAGUCUGGGGUCUCCGGGGAUUAAGAGAAGCCUCAGAGUAAUGUGGGACCUUCCCCAAGGCGUGUGCCCCCAUAGUCUAGGGUCCCUGGGGGUUGUGGAGCCUCCUGGAGGUCCGUGAUAUCCUUUCCCGCAGUCUAGAACCUUAUCUCAUGGCUUAGAGCCCCCGUGGAUGGGUGGGAGCUUCCACGUCUGGGAGUCCCAGAACCCUAGUUCAGAUAUCCGGGUUCCACCCCCAGGACCCGUCGAGGGUCCUGGUGCCGCCCAGAGGCCUGCACACCCACCUCUCAGUCCGGCCCACCCGUCCGGCGCGGGCUCAGGUUAGGUCACUCGGGAUCCGACAGAUAGACUAGGAACGGUCAGGCGGAAGGCGCCGCGACCGGGAUCCCAGUCCCCCUCAGCAACCGUCCCCGAGAUUCUGCAAGCGCCUCCCGUCCAGCCGCGCCAGCGGCCCUGCCAGCCCUGCCCUGAGCCGCCACGGCAGCCAAUCCUUGGGAGGGUCCCGCCCAUCCUCGUGCCCCAUUGGGGAAAUUCAAUUUGACGACCACGCCCCUGUAGCAGGCCCCGCCCCUCGAGGGCAGGACUGUAGGGGUUUGUAGUCUUGGGGCCACUGCCCUCGGGGCCUUGGCUGGUUGGGCGGUAGUCGGCAGGAGGACGCAGCUUUGCACUAAAGUCGGGGAGGGCGCCGAAAGCCGGGGUAAAGGAAACAGAAUCUCUGAAAGGUGAUGUGGCUGGCCUAGUCACACAGUUAUCAGAGUCAGGCAGGAUUUGAAUCCACAUCUUCUUGACUCUAGAGGCCAGACUCUGGACAACUGUGCUACAGUCGCCUGUUUGUGGGGCCUCUGCUCCCGACCCCAGCUGUCUGCCUGACUCAGCAACUGUGGGUGGCCUUACUCCCGUGCGUGGGCAGCAGAGCUGUUGGGAAGACUGACAUGAAGAGAGGGGAAGUCCAAAGGAUGCCCAGUGGAGAUGGGUGGCACUGAGACUGGAACUCUGAUCCAUUGGACUCUAGAGGCAGUUCUGCCCAACUCUUAAUGGAUGGACAGACUGUGGUGAAGUUGAACCUUCUGCCAAAGAAAACUCGUUGAUGCCCGCAAACCAGCCAGCCGGGGAGGAGGCUGCUCUGGAAUGUCGGAGGGGGGUCACCAAGCUAUUUGUGAGCAGGCCAACACAGAAAUGAACAAGAAUGGCGUGUGUGAGAGAAUCCACUAUAAAGUUAUCACCAUGACCCCUACCCUUCCCAUUGAGCCGGAGGGACUGGACAAGGAGACAGGCCACUUCUGGAUAAAAGUCCCUAGGUGUGGCAGUCACAAGAUAACUGAGGUCAAGCAGGAGAAAGCAGAGGCUGUUAUAAGGACUAGAACUCUUCCUCCCAAGUUCUCCUUUGCAAGCAUAUAGGUAAUGAGCUCUCUGUCACUGGAAAUAUGCAAGUGGAACCUGGCCAAUCAUUUGGCAGAAGCUGUAAAGGAGCUCUCAAAAUCUGAUGGGAAACCGGGCUGUACGGCUUCUGAGCAGCAGUUUGGCUAAGGGGUUAAGAACAUGGGCUUAGCUGGCAGUGGCCUCUGGUUUAAACCCCAGCUCUGCCAUUUCCUAGCUCUCUUCCUUCCAUCUUCAGGUAACCACGAUUCUGACUCCUAUCAUCACAGAUUUAUCUUGCCCAUUCUAGAAAUUCAUACAAAUGUCAUCACGCUGAACAUUCUCUUGUAUCUGACUUAUUUCAUUCAAUAUUAUGUUCAUGAA